GAUGAACGCUGGCGGCGUGCCUAAUACAUGCAAGUCGAGCGAACAGACGAGGAGCUUGCUCCUCUGACGUUAGCGGCGGACGGGUGAGUAACACGUGGAUAACCUGCCUAUAAGACUGGGAUAACUUCGGGAAACCGGAGCUAAUACCGGAUAAUAUAUUGAACCGCAUGGUUCAAUAGUGAAAGACGGUUCUGCUGUCACUUAUAGAUGGAUCCGCGCCGCAUUAGCUAGUUGGUAAGGUAACGGCUUACCAAGGCAAUGAUGCGUAGCCGACCUGAGAGGGUGAUCGGCCACACUGGAACUGAGACACGGUCCAGACUCCUACGGGAGGCAGCAGUAGGGAAUCUUCCGCAAAGGGCGAAAGCCUGACGGAGCAACGCCGCGUGAGUGAUGAAGGUCUUCGGAUCGUAAAACUCUGUUAUUAGGGAAGAACAAAUGUGUAAGUAACUAUGCACGUCUUGACGGUACCUAAUCAGAAAGCCACGGCUAACUACGUG
rnacentral:rRNA from 1 species